UGCAUAUCCAAAAAGCGGAGGAAAAGAAACCAACCGGGAUUGCCUUAGUAACGGCGAGUGAAGCGGCAAAAGCUCAAAUUUGAAAUCUGGUACCUUCGGUGCCCGAGUUGUAAUUUGUAGAAGGUAACUUUGGGGCUGGUCCUUGUCUAUGUUCCUUGGAACAGGACGUCAUAGAGGGUGAGAAUCCCGUGUGGCGAGGAUCCCAGUUCUUUGUAAAGUGCUUUCGAAGAGUCGAGUUGUUUGGGAAUGCAGCUCUAAGUGGGUGGUAAAUUCCAUCUAAAGCUAAAUAUUGGCGAGAGACCGAUAGCGAACAAGUACAGUGAUGGAAAGAUGAAAAGAACUUUGAAAAGAGAGUGAAAAAGUACGUGAAAUUGUUGAAAGGGAAGGGCAUUUGAUCAGACAUGGUGUUUUGCGCCCUCUGCUCCUUGUGGGUGGGGGAAUCUCGCAGCUCACUGGGCCAGCAUCAGUUUUGGCGGCAGGAUAAAUCUGCAGGAAUGUAGCUUGCCUCGGUAAGUGUUAUAUCCUGUAGAAAUACUGCCAGCUGGGACUGAGGACUGCGACUUUACGUCAAGGAUGCUGGCAUAAUGGUUAUAUGCCGCCCGUCUUGAAACACGGACC
rnacentral:rRNA from 1 species